AUCGUUUUAAAUCCACAUUACAGACUGUAAUCAGCGCAGACACACAGAUUGUGGCUGUGACAGGCAGACAUGUCGGCAGGCUGCAGGUCUGUCGGGCCGGGCUGUCCUGUCUGCACGCCUCGUUAUCACCAGGAAACGGUUGAACUGCCCCUGAAGAGUCCGUCACAUUAACCUCGAACUCUGCCGGCCACUGGAGGGAGACAUGCACCAUCACAAUCCUGCAAGGAUGACAUCAUGAACUCACCAGCCAUUUUAAGCUUUUAAGGGGCUGAAGUGGUGUUCACACAGGGAGCGCAGUGAUGGACAUCAUCAGCUUCAUCGCCUGGCUAAAGGCCAAAGCACGCCACCAUUUAUCUGUUUAUUAAUAAGAGAGCAGAUAACGUUCAUACGCAUCAGAUUGAUCGCACUUUUUAAAUAAACAAUUGCAGGUAAUAAUUCAUGUCACCAUUACUCUGAUGUAGCUGUUUAAAAACCCACAUCUGAAAUAUUAAAAACCUCUGGAGCGAGGAUGUUUGAGCGA